rnacentral:snRNA from 1 species
GGAUGUGUAGGCAGUCUGGCUGUGACAUCUGCCACCCAUGGAUCACCAGGGUUGAUCUGGCUGAUCCAGCUGGCUAGGUAGAUGUCCCCUUCCUCUCUCACCACUCCUGAAGUUGUGACAACCUUACCCACUAGAGGAUGACCUGUCUUUGGUCAACGGUACAUAGUAUCUGUACUCACCUGCUAGAAUCUCCAAACAAACUCUCUAGAACAAGGACAGGAACUGAGCUUAGUACACAUUCUUUUUUUUUUUUUUCCUUUGACAUGCAGAGUGGAUAGUGAGA